UUAAAACCGGUUCCCGUACGAUCACCGAAAUUACGCCGAGCCUGAUCAGUACCUGGAUAGGUGACCUCUUGGGAAUACAAGGAGCUGUAAG